CCAGUCAAUGAUGAGGAUCUGAUAUCCUUUAUUACCAAUGGUUUAAACGCUGCUUAUACCCCAUUUGUUACAUCCUUCUCUUUUACCACACGUGCCAAUCCAAUGACUUUUGAUGAUUUUCAAGUAGAAUUGCUUAAUUUUGAAA